AAGGCGUCGAAGUAGUGUAUGUCAUACUUCCAAGAAAAGCUUGCACUGUCAUAGAUAAAAAACGCCUGUACCAUAACCGACACAGGUGGGUAGGUAGAGUAUACUAAGGGGCGCGAGAUAACUCUCUCUAAGGAACUCGGCAAAAUAACUCCGUAACUUCGGGAGAAGGAGUGCCUUAUUCUUAAGGUUGCAAUAACAAGAUCCAAGCAACUGUUUAUCAAAAACACAGGUCUCCGCUAAGUCGUAAGACGAUGUAUGGGGGCUGACGCCUGCCCAGUGCCAGAAGGUUAAAGAAGCUGGUUAGCAUUUGCGAAGCUAGUAACUGAAGCCCUGGUGAACGGCGGCCGUAACAAUAACGGUCCUAAGGUAGCGAAAUUCCUUGUCGGGUAAGUUCCGACCCGCACGAGAGGCGUAAUGAUUUGGAUACUGUCUCGGAGAGGGGCUCGGUGAAAUAGACUUGUCUGUGAAGAUGCGGACUACCUGCACCAGGACAGAAAGACCCUAUGAAGCUUUACUGUAACUUGAAAUUGAAAUUGGACUUUAUUCGCGCAGUAUAGGUGGGAGGCGUUGAUUAUAAUCUUGCGGGAUUAUUGGAGCCAUUAGUGAGAUACCACUCUUGUAAUGUUAGAUUUCUAACUUUGAAUCAUUAUCUGGUCAAAGAACAGUUUCAGGCGGGCAGUUUGACUGGGGCGGUCGCCUCCUAAACGGUAACGGAGGCGUACAAAGGUUUCCUCUGAACGGUUAGAAAUCGUAUCUAGAGUGUAAAGGCAUAAGGAAGCUUGACUGUGAGACCUACAAGUCGAGCAGGGACGAAAGUCGGUCUUAGUGAUCUGACGGUACUGAGUGGAAAGGCCGUCACUCAACGGAUAAAAGUUACUCUAGGAUAACAGGCCGAUCUCCCCCAAGAGUUCACAUCGACGGGGAGGUUUGGCACCUCGAUGUCGGCUCAUCGCAUCCUGGGGCGGUAGUACGUCCCAAGGGUUGGGCUGUUCGCCCAUGAAAGCGGUACGCGAGCUGGGUUCAGAACGUCGUGAGACAGUUCGGUCCAUAUCCGGUGUAGGCGUUAGAAUAUUGAGAGGAGCCUUCUUUAGUACGAGAGGACCGAGAAGGACAUACCUCUGGUGUACCAGUUAUCGUGCCAACGGUAAACGCUGGGUAGCUAUGUAUGGAGUGGAUAACCGCUGAAAGUAUCUAAGUGGGAAGCCCACCUCAAGAUAAGUAUUCUCAGC
rnacentral:rRNA from 1 species